UGGGGAAUAUUGCACAAUGGGCGCAAGCCUGAUGCAGCCAUGCCGCGUGUGUGAAGAAGGCCUUCGGGUUGUAAAGCACUUUCAGCGGGGAGGAAGGCGGUGAGGUUAAUAACCUCAUCGAUUGACGUUACCCGCAGAAGAAGCACCGGCUAACUCCGUGCCAGCAGCCGCGGUAAUACGGAGGGUGCAAGCGUUAAUCGGAAUUACUGGGCGUAAAGCGCACGCAGGCGGUCUGUCGAGUCGGAUGUGAAAUCCCCGGGCUCAACCUGGGAACUGCAUUCGAAACUGGCAGGCUAGAGUCUUGUAGAGGGGGGUAGAAUUCCAGGUGUAGCGGUGAAAUGCGUAGAGAUCUGGAGGAAUACAGGUGGCGAAGGCGGCCCCCUGGACAAAGACUGACGCUCAGGUGCGAAAGCGUGGGGAGCAAACAGG
rnacentral:rRNA from 1 species